rnacentral:rRNA from 1 species
GAUGAACGCUAGCUAUAGGCUUAACACAUGCAAGUCGAGGGACCGGCGCACGGGUGAGUAACGCGUAUCCAACCUGCCUAUAACUAAGGGAUAACCCAGAGAAAGUUGGACUAAUACCUUAUGGUUAUGGAUGGGGAUGCGUCGUAUUAGCUUGUUGGCGGGGUAACGGCCCCCCAAGGCAACGAUCAGUAGGGGUUCGGAGAGGUAGUUCCCCCACAUUUGAACUGUGACCCGGUCCAAACUCGUACGGGAGGCAGCAGUGAGGCAUAUUUGUCAAUUGACGCGAGUCUGAACCAGCCAAGUAGCGUGCAGGAUGUCGGCCUAUGUGUUGUAGCCUGCUGUUAUAAGAGGAUAGGUACCAUAUUAAUAAGUACCGGCUAAUUCCGUGCCAGCAGCCGCGGUAAUAC